GGUUAAGCGACUAAGCGUACACGGUGGAUGCCUAGGCAAUCAGAGGCGAUGAAGGACGUGCUAAUCUGCGAUAAGCGUCGGUAAGGUGAUAUGAACCGUGAUAACCGACGAUUUCCGAAUGGGGGAACCCAGUGCAAUCCGUUGCACUAUCGUUUGAUGAAUACAUAGUCAAACGAAGCGAACCGGGGGAACUGAAACAUCUCAGUACCCCGAGGAAAAGAAAUCAACCGAGAUUCCCCUAGUAGCGGCGAGCGAACGGGGAGCAGCCCAGAGUCUUAAUCAACAUUAGCAUCAGGAGAACGGUCUGGAAAGGCCGGCAGUAAAGGGUGAUAGCCCCGUAUCCGAAGGUGUUAGUGUUGUGAACUCGACGAGUAGGGCGGGACACGUGUUAUCCUGUCUGAAUAUGGGGGGACCAUCCUCCAAGGCUAAAUACUCCUGAUUGACCGAUAGUGAACCAGUACCGUGAGGGAAAGGCGAAAAGAACCCCGGCGAGGGGAGUGAAAUAGAACCUGAAACCGUGUACGUACAAGCAGUGGGAGCACCUUUAGGGGUGUGACUGCGUACCUUUUGUAUAAUGGGUCAGCGACUUAUAUUCUGUAGCAAGGUUAACCGUAUAGGGGAGCCGUAGGGAAACCGAGUCUUAACUGGGCGAAUGAGUUGCAGGGUAUAGACCCGAAAC
rnacentral:rRNA from 1 species